rnacentral:rRNA from 1 species
UACGUAGGCAGCAAGCGUUGUUCGGAAUUACUGGGCGUAAAGGCUCGUAGGCGGCCAACUAAGUCAGACGUGAAAUCCCUCGGCUUAACCGGGGAACUGCGUCUGAUACUGGAUGGCUCGAGUUUGGGAGAGGGAUGCGGAAUUCCAGGUGUAGCGGUGAAAUGCGUAGAUAUCUGGAGGAACACCGGUGGCGAAGGCGGCAUCCUGGACCAACACUGACGCUGAUGAGCGAAAGCCAGGGGAGCAAACGGG